AUGCUAAUGAGGUGCGGGGAGACAGGUGGCCUGCUAGACAGCUCAAUUAAGCAGCUUGUUAAAGGCCAAGCUAACGAAGCGGCCUGCACUGCAAGCCUUAACAAACAGUGUGACUGUGCAGGCUACAAAUUGUUGGAGGGAAGAUUAGCAGGAUUAAGACUGGCUCACAUAUGCUGCUCUUCACUACUGGCAUUCAUCACAACACAAGCCCAACUGCCACCCAGACGGGGAGAGAAAGAGAAAGAAAAAGAGUGAGAGUGAAAGUUUUUCUCUGAUAUUAAAGCAUUGCUACACUAAAUCAAAGCUGUUUGGAAUAAUUUUGGAAGAAAAAAAAGGCUGAUUAGUGAGAAAGGGACAGAGAAAAAAAUGUUGGAUUGUGAGAGGGUUAUGGAAGAGGAUGCAAAAGCAUUUAUGAUGGAAAAUAGCUAAAGAGGUGUAGGACAUACAGUGUGGUCAAAAAGUAUUUAUUUAUUUAUUUUUACUAAAAAAAAGUUGUGGGAUUUUGAUAAUUGUUGAAAAAAAUAUGAUGAAAAGGUUAAUACUGAGUACUCUCCAAUCCAUUUUAAGCAAGAUUGUGACACUGAUCAUGUAAAUUUUACUGGAUAACCUGAUUGUCAGCUAUUUUCAUUUUUAAAAAACUUUAAUGUACCUUUUUAUUGCUUUGUGUUGUUUUACCUUGGCAUGAAAACUUAAGGCUGCUUUGUGGGUUUUUUAUGACUAAGGGAGUGACAGCAAAUUUGGCUAAAAGCAUCUGCUAAAUACAUGAAUGUACCCCUUUUGGUCAUAUAAACAAGCAAGUAGGAAUGUAAAAAAUAUUUGUUGUGGUUUCCAUUUACCACUAUAGAAGAUUGCUCAAUGACAAAUUCUGCUUUUGAGAACCCCGGAAAAAAUUGAAGAUGUCCAUUUUAAAAUGAUUGAAAAACAGAAUCAUUUUCACUAGUGUUUUUAGUGAAUUGUAUUUAUUUUGGAAAUAACUCCCAGUUGGAUUAAUAAAACAGGAUGAGAAAAAAAAUGUCUGACUAAACACCACCUCAGUUUUACAGAACAACAAAAAAUGUUGAAGAUGUAGAAUGUGCCAUGACACGACAGUUAGAUGUAAUGCAUAGAAAGACAUGCUUUCAAGUACUGUAAAACACUGUACUCAUGUUGAGUUUGGGGUUAACCAUGCAAAAAAAAAAUGGUGACACUUAACUCCAGGUGGAUUCAUUAGCUUAAAUAUGACUGCAGUUACAGCUCUGGCUAAUUUAGCUCUUAGGGUUAACAGUUUUCACACAUAUACACACAUCUGCCCACCUCAUUAUUGGAAUGCAUACGCAAACACAUCAUUAUCUCAUAAAGGUAAUGAGAAAAGAAGAGUCUGGCGUUGCCAACCGGCAGAAAUUAGCACUCAGUCUCCCUUCACACUCAUCCAACAGGCUAACAUUCAUUCACCCUGAGGUGGCAAAAGCUCUGCUAUCUUCCUCCCUCUUUCUCUGAGGCAGGCCCUCAUUAAACAAAUAGUCUUGUCUUGUAUUGUCUUGUAACGUCUUGUAUUAUUAUUAUUAUUUUUUAGUUUUUCUAAAAUCCUGUCAAAUGUGCACAAACUACUAGCUACUACUAAAUAUUGUAGAAACAUAAUUUUCUGUAAAGUUGCUUUGUAACGAUUUGUUUUGUAAAAAGCGCUAUACAAAUAAACUUGAAUUGAAUUGAAUUGAAUUGAAAUAGCUUUUAAUUAAAUAAAUGACAUAAAAUGUAUCCAGUUCUGUAUUUUUGUCAUUUCAGCUGAUUAAAUUUUCUGCACCUGAACUGUGAAGUUUGAAUAAGCUGUAAAAUUCUGUGGAACCUGGCAUUUCUCUCUCUCUCUCUCUCUCUCUCUCUCUCUCUCUCUCUCUCUCUCUCUCUCUCUCUGUUUUUAAGCAAAUAUGUGAAAACUCACAGUAUCACUUUGCAUCAGUGUACAUUUUAUGCAUAUUAAAUUUAUUUAAAUAAUUACAAUUGCAGCAGUGACAAGUGGUCCACAAAACUUUAGAAUCAAGGACAUUGCUCAUUAGGCUUUCACGCAGCACUGUAAUCACAUAAGUGGCCAGUGUUCAUGCUGAGAGUCUUGUUUAGGCAGGUCUGUAAAAAAAUUAAUGUACAUCUUUGUCAUUGGCUCAUUGUGAUCUAAAUCAAGAGGUAAUGACGUCAGCCAAACAUGCGCUUAAUUAGCCUUAAUUGGCAACAUUCUCGGCGGACUACAGUUACCAAAGUUUGUUUGAAUCGAGGGCAGACCAACCCCUGUCUUUCUCUUUCUGUAAUUGCUCCCAUGACAGUUGGCAGUCAGUGUGGGUGCGUGUGAAUUUGUGCGCAUUCUUCCCCGGGUGACAUUUUAGAUAAUUAUAUGCGCGAGGAAUAAACUGCAGCUCUGACAAUAGGGUUUUUUCUGUCCCCCCGUUUCUAAUCCAGACAGUCGCGGCAUAUAUUACCAUUUCGCUACACUUAACAAGUGAGAUUACCGGAAUUCAUAAUGAAGGAACUGAACUACAAUUUAUCUCCGACACCGCCGUUUUAAACCAACUCAUUUGCAUAAGCGUAUUUAACGAGAGUAAACAAGCAAACAGACAGACGGGAUCUGUCCGCACGGGGAAAACAACCCAACUACAAGAGCUUAUAGAUGCUUCAAUGAAAAUAUGUUUAAGACCUUGAUCUGGGGAAUUCUCUCACCUGUGGAGUCAGAAGAACAGACACAUGACUAUCUAUCUAUCUAUCUAUCUAUCUAUCUAUCUAUCUAUCUAUCUAUCUAUCUAUCUAUCUAUCUAUCUAUCUAUCUAUCUAUCUAUCUAUCUAUCUAUCUAUCUAUCUAUCUAUAUUAAAAUAGGCUAUGUAGCUAUACAGCCUGCGUUUAUAGAGGCUAUGUCCAAUUAAUUUCCAAAGUAAAAGCGAAAUGUAAUUGCUCAUUUAUGGGCGCUGUGUGUAACCCGCCCGUUUAUGCCCUCCUCUUCUACCCCAAACAAUAACUUCUGUUUGCCCAUAUUGGCCUAAUUGAUUUGUUUCAGAUCAUAACCGUUAAAAGCCAUUUUACACGCCUCGUUUAUUAACGAUUUAAAUGGGCUUAACGGCUGAAAUUAUUAGUCAGCUGUCCUGCGCCCGCAAGGGGUCACCGGGUUAAAACAAUAUGAGCGCAUUCAAACCGCAAAACAGUGUCUGCAACUGACCGCGCUCCAUCCGGCGGGAUAUAUGCACGGUAUAUCACCAAGAAAAUCUUCCGUCGGCAUUUUGCAUCCAUUCUCCAUCACACUAUAGAAAAACUGUCUAUGACCAUCAGCUUCCUGAGCUGCAUUUUUCAAAGCUAAUUAAUUCGUAUGAAUCCAGUGAGAAAUGUUAGCUAAAACUAAUAUGUAAUGUAAG
rnacentral:lncRNA from 1 species